UGGGGAAUAUUGCACAAUGGGCGCAAGCCUGAUGCAGCCAUGCCGCGUGUAUGAAGAAGGCCUUCGGGUUGUAAAGUACUUUCAGCGGGGAGGAAGGGAGUAAAGUUAAUACCUUUGCUCUUUGACGUUACCCGCAGAAGAAGCACCGGCUAACUCCGUGCCAGCAGCCGCGGUAAUACGGAGGGUGCAAGCGUUAAUCGGAAUUACUGGGCGUAAAGCGCACGCAGGCGGUUUGUUAAGUCAGAUGUGAAAUCCCCGGGCUCAACCUGGGAACUGCCUCUGAUACUGGCAAGCUUGAGUCUCGUAGAGGGGGGUCGACUUCCAGGUGUAGCGGUGAGAUUCGUAGCGAUCUGGAGGAAUACCGUUGGCGAAGGCGGCCCCCUGGACGAAGACUGACGCUCAGGUGCGAAAGCGUGGGGAGCAAACAGG
rnacentral:rRNA from 1 species